rnacentral:tRNA from 1 species
GCGGUUGUAGUUUAAUGGCAGAAUACAAGGUUGUGGAAAACUGCAAAAUCCUUGGGACGAGGGUUCGAUUCCCUCCUACCGCU